rnacentral:rRNA from 1 species
GAUGAACGCUGGCGGCGUGCCUAAUACAUGCAAGUCGAGCGAACGGACGAGAAGCUUGCUUCUCUGAUGUUAGCGGCGGACGAGUGAGUAACACGUGGAUAACCUACCUAUAAGACUGGGAUAACUUCGGGAAACCGGAGCUAAACCGGGAAAAAUUUUUGAACCCAUGGGUUAAAAGGAAAAAGACGGCGUUGUGGCACUUAAUAGAGGAUCCGCGGUGCAUUAGCUAGUUGGUAAGGUAACGGCUUACCAAGGCCACGAUGGAUAGCCGACCUGAGAGGGUGAUCGGCCACACUGGAACUGAGACACGGUCCAGACUCCUACGGGAGGCAGCAGUAGGGAAUCUUCCGCAAUGGGCGAAAGCCUGACGGAGCAACGCCGCGUGAGUGAUGAAGGUCUUCGGAUCGUAAAACUCUGUUAUUAGGGAAGAACAUAUGUGUAAGUAACUGUGCACAUCUUGACGGUACCUAAUCAGAAAGCCACGGCUAACUACGUG